rfam:Canis lupus familiaris chromosome 2, whole genome shotgun sequence.
GUCUACGGCCAUACCACCCUGAACGCGCCCGAUCUCGUCUGAUCUCGGAAGCUAAGCAGGGUCGGGCCUGGUUAGUACUUGGAUGGGAGAAAUGUCUCCUACUAAAAUGAAUUGAGGUAUUUUCC